CAGCAGACUUCAGCCCGAAGCUGAGUUCAGGAAGUCCAGCUGUCACUGUUGGGAAACAUCUAGGAGUCUUCCUUGGAUCCAUAAGAAGCUCUUCCCCUAAAGGCAGCACAGCUAACUCUACUCUCUACCUGCCACAACUCAGUCAAGAACUGGCACCUGUAGCCAUCUGGGUGCAGACAGACCCUCAGUACCUUCCUGGACACAGACACAUAUUCCCUGGACCAAGGCGUGGAAUAACUAGUAGACCACCAAGCCACAGGUGGCUGGUCUUGAAGAAAAGGGAUUAUACUCCUUACAGGCCACCCAGAAAGCUAUGAAUUCCAAUAUACACCACUGAUCGUGCAAGUUAGGGGUUUUUUUUUUUUUAAACGUAGCAUUAUUUUGUUAUAUUUUGGAACUAAAUGAAGUGCCAAAUUAACCAG
rnacentral:sRNA from 1 species